AACGGGUGAGUAACACGUGGGAAAUCUGCCUAAGAGUGGGGGAUAACAUUCGGAAACGGAUGCUAAUACCGCAUAYAUUCUUGAACCGCAUGGUUCUGGAAAGAAAGACGGCUUUGCUGUCGCUUUUAGAUGAUCCCGCGGCGUAUUAGUUAGUUGGUGGGGUAAUGGCCUACCAAGACCAUGAUACGUAGCCGACCUGAGAGGGUGAUCGGCCACACUGGGACUGAGACACGGCCCAGACUCCUACGGGAGGCAGCAGUAGGGAAUCUUCCACAAUGGGUGCAAACCUGAUGGAGCAAUGCCGCGUGAAUGAAGAAGGUCUUCGGAUCGUAAAGUUCUGUUAUUAGAGAAGAACAAGUCGAGGAGUAACUGUCUCGACUUUGACGGUACCUAACCAGAAAGUCACGGCUAACUACGUGCCAGCAGCCGCGGUAAUACGUAGGUGACAAGCGUUGUCCGGAAUUAUUGGGCGUAAAGGGAGCGCAGGCGGUUGGAAUAGUCUGAUGUGAAAGCCCACGGCUUAACCGUGGAAGGUCAUUGGAAACUGUCCAACUUGAAUGCAGAAGAGGUAAGUGGAAUUCCAUGUGUAGCGGUGAAAUGCGUAGAUAUAUGGAGGAACACCAGUGGCGAAGGCGACUUACUGGUCUGUAAUUGACGCUGAGGCUCGAAAGCGUGGGUAGCGAACAGGAUUAGAUACCCUGGUAGUCCACGCCGUAAACGAUGAGUGCUAAGUGUUGGAGGGUUUCCGCCCUUCAGUGCUG
rnacentral:rRNA from 1 species